AAGCGACAUUAAUUUUAAUAAUUUUUUAUAAAAAGUGCUUAUUUUUUAUAUACAUUAGAAGGGAUCAAAUCUUAUUCUAUCUAUCAAGCAUAAGAAGAGAAAAAAUAUGACUCCAAUUCUCAAGUUUAUAUUCGUCUUGUCUAUGUUUUUUUUCUUAUUUUUUGUUGCUGCGAAUGUUGGUUCCACUCCCGAAUGUAAAGAAGAUUCUGAUUGUGUGUGUGAAGUGCACAAGAUAUCACUGUGUAUUGAUGGUUUGUGCGCAGCAUGUCUUUUGCAUAGUUAAAGCGAUCAUAGAGACGCCUUGAAUGGAUGAAUAAGUAUUGUAUCAAUACAAGAUCUAUGUAAAUAUUAAAGAAUAAUAUAAUAUAACAUAAUAUACCUUGAAUGGAUAAACCACUAUGUAAUAUUAUAUUUUAAGACAAUACAAAAUUAAUAUUUAUACUUUUGAAA